CUAAUCGGAUUCAGGUCGGUUUGG
rnacentral:siRNA from 1 species